rnacentral:rRNA from 1 species
AUUGAACGCUGGCGGCAUGCCUUACACAUGCAAGUCGAACGGCAGCACGGGGCAACCUGGUGGCGAGUGGCGAACGGGUGAGUAAUGCAUCGGAACGUACCUUUCAGUGGGGGAUAACGUAGCGAAAGUCACGCUAAUACCGCAUAUUCUGUGAGCAGGAAAGCAGGGGAUCGCAAGACCUUGCGCUGAUUGAGCGGCCGAUGUCAGAUUAGCUAGUUGGUGAGGUAAAGGCUCACCAAGGCGACGAUGUGUAGCGGGUCUGAGAGGAUGAUCCGCCACACUGGAACUGAGACACGGUCCGGACUCCUACGGGAGGCAGCAGUGGGGAAUUUUGGACAAUGGGGGCAACCCUGAUCCAGCCAUGCCGCGUGAGUGAAGAAGGCCUUCGGGUUGUAAAGCUCUUUCGGCCGGGAAGAAAUCGCACGGGCUAAUACCCUGUGUGGAUGACGGUACCGGAAUAAGAAGCACCGGCUAACUACGUGCCAGCCGCCGCCGUAAUAC